rnacentral:rRNA from 1 species
AUUGAACGCUGGCGGCAUGCCUAACACAUGCAAGUCGAACGGCAGCACGGGGGCAACCCUGGUGGCGAGUGGCGAACGGGUGAGUAAUGCAUCGGAACGUGCCCAGUAGUGGGGGAUAACCCGGCGAAAGCCGGGCUAAUACCGCAUACGACCUAAGGGUGAAAGCGGGGGACCGUAAGGCCUCGCGCUAUUGGAGCGGCCGAUGUCUGAUUAGCUAGUUGGCGGGGUAAAAGCCCACCAAGGCGACGAUCAGUAGCUGGUCUGAGAGGACGACCAGCCACACUGGGACUGAGACACGGCCCAGACUCCUACGGGAGGCAGCAGUGGGGAAUUUUGGACAAUGGGCGCAAGCCUGAUCCAGCCAUGCCGCGUGCGGGAAGAAGGCCUUCGGGUUGUAAACCGCUUUUGGCAGGAACGAAACGGCGCAAGCCAAUACCUUGCGCUAAUGACGGUACCUGCAGAAUAAGCACCGGCUAACUACGUGCCAGCAGCCGCAGUAACAC